GACAGAGGGUGCAAACGUUGCUCGGAAUUACUGGGCGUAAAGGGUUUGUAGGUGGCUAAUUAAGUCAGACGUGAAAUCCCUCAGCUUAACUGGGGAACUGCGUCUGAUACUGGUUGGCUUGAGUGCAGGAGAGGAAUGCGGAAUUCCAGGUGUAGCGGUGAAAUGCGUAGAUAUCUGGAGGAACACCGGUGGCGAAGGCGGCGUUCUGGACUGCAACUGACACUGAGAAACGAAAGCCAGGGGAGCAAACGGG
rnacentral:rRNA from 1 species